rnacentral:tRNA from 1 species
GGGCACUUGGCGCAGUGGUUAGCGCGCGUCGUUGACAUCGACGAGGUCAGAGGUUCAAAUCCUCUAGUGCCCA